rnacentral:rRNA from 1 species
CAGUAGCCGCGGUAAAACCAGCACCUCGAGUGGUCAGGAGGUUUAUUGGGCCUAAAGCAUCCGUAGCCGGUUGCAUAAGUUUUCGGUUAAAUCUAUGCGCUUAACGUAUAGGCCGCCGAAAAUACUGUGCAGCUAGGGAGUGGGAGAGGUACACGGUACUCGAUAGGAAGGGGUAAAAUCCUUUGAUCUAUUGAUGACCACCUGUGGCGAAGGCGGUGUACCAGAACACGUUCGACGGUGAGGGAUGAAAGCUGGGGGAGCAAACCGGAUUAGAUACCCCGGUAGUCCCUGUCUCUUAUAC